AUUGAACGCUGGCGGCAGGCCUAACACAUGCAAGUCGAACGAGUGGCGGACGGGUGAGUAAUGUCUGGGAAACUGCCUGAUGGAGGGGGAUCACUACUGGAAACGGUAGCUAAUACCGCAUACUCUCGGUUGUGCCCAGCAGGGAUUAGCUAGUCGGUGGGGUAACGGCUCACCUAGGCGACGCUCACUAGCUGGUCUGAUAGGAUGACCAGCCACACUGGAACUGAGACACGGUCCAGACUCCUACGGGAGGCAGCAGUGGGGAAUAUUGCACAAUGGGCGCAAGCCUGAUGCAGCCAUGCCGCGUGUAUGAAGAAGGCCUUCGGGUUGUAAAGUACUUUCAGCGGGGAGGCGUUACCCGCAGAAGAAGCACCGGCUAACUCCGUGCCAGCAGCCGCGGUAAUUC
rnacentral:rRNA from 1 species